rnacentral:rRNA from 1 species
UACGUAGGAGGCAAGCGUUGUCCGGAAUUAUUGGGCGUAAAGAGCUCGUAGGCGGUUCGUCGCGUCGGCUGUGAAAUCCCGAGGCUCAACCUCGGGUCUGCAGUCGAUACGGGCGGACUGGAGUUCGGCAGGGGAGACUGGAAUUCCUGGUGUAGCGGUGAAAUGCGCAGAUAUCAGGAGGAACACCGGUGGCGAAGGCGGGUCUCUGGGCCGAUACUGACGCUGAGGAGCGAAAGCGUGGGGAGCGAACAGG